rnacentral:rRNA from 1 species
UACGUAGGGGGCGAGCGUUGUCCGGAUUUAUUGGGCGUAAAGAGCUCGUAGGCGGCUUGCCAAGUCAGGGGUGAAAUCCUGCAGCUCAACUGUAGAAGUGCCUUUGAUACUGGCGAGCUCGAGGGAGGUAGGGGUGGGUGGAACUUCUGGUGGAGCGGUGAAAUGCGUUGAUAUCAGAAGGAACGCCGGUGGCGAAAGCGACCCACUGGAUCUCUACUGACGCUGAGGCGCGAAAGCUAGGGGAGCAAACGGG